GCUGUGGCUCAGUGGUAGAGUGUUUGCCUCAAAUAUAAGAGACACUGGUUUCAAUUCUCAGCACUGCA
rnacentral:tRNA from 1 species